UACGGAGGAUGCGAGCGUUAUCCGGAUUCAUUGGGUUUAAAGGGUGCGUAGGCGGGAUAUUAAGUCAGUGGUGAAAACUUCAUGCUCAACGUGAAGCUUGCCGAUGAUACUGAUAACCUUGAGUGUGAUUAAUGCCGGCGGAAUGCGACAAGUAGCGGUGAAAUGCUUAGAUAUGUCGCAGAACACCGAUAGCGAAGGCAGCUGGCAGAGUCACAACUGACGCUGAGGCACGAAAGCGUGGGGAUCGAACAGGAUUAGAUACCCUGGUAGUCCACGCCGUAAACGAUGAUAGCUGGAUGUCCCCGAGCACUUGGGGGUGUCUGAGUAAAAGCAUUAAGCUAUCCACCUGGGGAGUACGCCGGCAACGGUGAA
rnacentral:rRNA from 1 species